GAGAAGUGGACUUGUCUGCCAGAAGAGAAGCAUCCCUCCAAACAGGAAGUGUGCUCAGUCUCAGACGGACUAGAGAAAAAUGCAGAGAGGGUGCCUUCCUACUUUUUCCAUCCUGGGGAAAGUUUGAACCACAAAACCACAAAGAAUAAAAUAUUGCUGGUCAAUGGAAACAUUCACUUUUGGAAAUCAGGAAGUCAAUCUGCUGCUCCAGAAGUGUUGUCCGUGAACGCUGCCCCAGCUUUGGAGGUCCUUCAGGAGAGCUGGAUUUUCACAGACUUGCUAUGCUUACCUGAGUUUUCUAGGAAAGGAAUCGUUUCCAAGAAGGCCUAUAGCAGUGCAGCAAGCCCUGGAGCGAGGGAACGCAGCUGUGCCCUGGGAGCCGGGGGGCUCGAGCUGACGCUCCUGCCGUAACCUGGGCUCCGACCAAGGACCCAGUUGGCCUAAGGCCAUCAUCUGGACCAGUGACCAUUGUGUGGCACCCAGAGAGGAGGAUUACAUAUGACCAGCACCAGGUCACUGGAAGAAGGAGACAUGGAAGGAUAACUGGCAAUGGAAAGCUUUCUUCCCAGACAUCUGUGAACCUCAGACCUCAAAAACAACCUAUAUGGGAAUUCUCUCUAAGCUUGCUGAAAAUAAACCUUUUUUAAAGAAAAAAUCUGGAGGCAUUUGUGCCUUAAUGUGUGGAGAAAUGCAUUAAUUUUACAGAGAGAGGUGAAAUGGAGGACUCUAGAAAGACAGAGAGUCUCUUUUUACACCCUCUUUCCAUUCUUUAUUUUCUCUCUCUUUCUCUCCUUUUAUCAUUCACACAUUGAUGCAUAUAGAUUAAAUGUAAUUUUAUAUAAUACAUGCAGUAUAUUAUAAUAAUAUAAUAU
rnacentral:lncRNA from 1 species